CUACAUUGCAUCAGCCUUACAUUGCAUCAGCAUUACAGCUGCUGGUCAGCUCUUCAAUCUCAAUACCUCAACAGCAAUUAAACAAGAUU